rnacentral:rRNA from 1 species
AGUGAACGCUGGCGGUAGGCCUAACACAUGCAAGUCGAACGGCAGCACAGUAAGAGCUUGCUCUUACGGGUGGCGAGUGGCGGACGGGUGAGGAAUACAUCGGAAUCUACUUUCUCGUGGGGGAUAACGUAGGGAAACUUACGCUAAUACCGCAUACGACCUACGGGUGAAGGCAGGGGAUCUUCGGACCUUGCGCGAUUGAAUGAGCCGAUGUCGGAUUAGCUAGUUGGCGGGGUAAAGGCCCACCAAGGCGACGAUCCGUAGCUGGUCUGAGAGGAUGAUCAGCCACACUGGAACUGAGACACGGUCCAGACUCCUACGGGAGGCAGCAGUGGGGAAUAUUGGACAAUGGGCGCAAGCCUGAUCCAGCCAUACCGCGUGGGUGAAGAAGGCCUUCGGGUUGUAAAGCCCUUUUGUUGGGAAAGAAAAGCAGCAGGUUAAUACCCCGCUGUUCUGACGGUACCCAAAGAAUAAGCACCGGCUAACUUCGUG